rnacentral:rRNA from 1 species
UACGUAGGGGGCAAGCGUUGUCCGGAUUUAUUGGACGUAAAGAGCGUGUAGGCGGCUUGGUAGGUCCGCUGUGAAAACUCGAGGCUCAACCUCGAGAUGUCGGCGGAAACCACUUGGCUAGAGUCCGGAAGAGGAGAGUGGAAUUCCCGGUGUAGCGGUGAAAUGCGCAGAUAUCGGGAAGAACACCUAUGGCGAAGGCAGCUCUCUGGGACGGUACUGACGCUGAGACGCGAAAGCGUGGGGAGCGAACAGG